rnacentral:lncRNA from 1 species
GGUCUCUGGAAAGCUCCCUGUGUUAAUUCUCGAUGAGACUACGUCUGUGCCGGCCGCUUCCUGAGCCUCCUUCCAUGUGCAUAGGCCUGCUGCAUGCUGGAGACCUGCGGCACAGCUGCCAAGUGCCCCGUGUGGUUCUGUGAUCUUGGGACAGUCACUUCCUCUCUGUGGUUGUCAGUCUUCUCAUCCCUAAGCACUCAAGAAGCCCUUCCUUCUCUGGCUGUCAAGUCUGGACUCAUCUCUUGUCUUACACACGGACAGUUGUUUUAAGGAAAAGCCCCUGGUUGGACUUGCAGAUUGGGCACAGCCCUGGACGUAUACUACAGAUGGAAUAAAAAGGCCUACCUCAUUGGGCUCGUGUGGGUGAGGAGAACUGAAGAGUCUGAGAGCGCGGCACGAGCCAGAGGCUACGGAAAACACUGCCCUCCUACACUCCACCUUGGAGAGACCCAGAAAAGAACAAGCUUCAUUUGUAAAAAAGGAAAACAACUCAGGCAAUGGGGGUGGCUUAAAGGCACUCUACAGUGUGCAGAUGCCUUCCACUUCUUCCAUCUGCCCUGUCUCUCCAAGAACCCCUAUGGCCCCGGUCUCAGAACAGAGCUGAGUGCAGAAAUGAAAAUCUAUGGCUCUGUGUUCCAAAACGAUGAAGAAUUUCAAGAUGGUGGCAGUGGUAAAAUCUUUCUCCAGGAAAAAUCUGUCCUUGGCCCAAUGUGUAAACACUUGCUGAGGAACUUGGAAUAACUUGCAGUGUCUUGCAGUAUUGUGAAACCAGCAACUUGUUCACAAUUCUUCUGAAUUUCUUGGGAAAUUUGAAGUGGAGUACCUGUACCAACAUGAAAUGACACGAAUUUAAGUGACGCUCAACAACGAAAAGCAAAA